rnacentral:rRNA from 1 species
AACGAACGCUGGCGGCAGGCCUAACACAUGCAAGUCGAACGCUCCGCAAGGGGAGUGGCGCACGGGUGAGUAACACGUGGGAACCUACCUUCUGGUACGGAACAACCAAGGGAAACGUUUUGGUCUAAGAACCGUAUACGACCCUCCCGGGUGGAAAGAAUUGAUCGCCGGAAGAGGGGCCCGCGUCCGAUUAGGUAGUUGGUGAGGUAACGGCUCACCAAGCCUUCGAUCGGUAGCUGGUCUGAGAGGAUGACCAGCCACACUGGGACUGAGACACGGCCCACGACUCCUACGGGAGGCAGCAGUGGGGAAUAUUGGACAAUGGGCGCAAGCCUGAUCCAGCCAUGCCGCGUGAGUGAUGAAGGCCUUCGGUU